rnacentral:rRNA from 1 species
AUUGCCCCAGUAACGGCGAGUGAAGCGGCAGCAGCCCAGAUUUGAAAUCCGGCUUCGGCCCGAGUUGUAAUCUGCAGAGGAUGCUUCGGGGCGGGCGUCCCUCCGAGUCCCCUGGAACGGGGCGCCAGAGAGGGUGACAGCCCCGUACGGCCGGACGUGCCGCCCCGCGCGAAGCUCCCUCGAAGAGUCGAGUAGUUUGGGAAUGCUGCUCAAAGCGGGAGGUAAAUUCCUUCCAAGGCUAAAUACCGGCCGGAGACCGAUAGCGCACAAGUAGAGUGAUCGAAAGAUGAAAAGCACUUUGGAAAGAGGGUUAAACAGUACGUGAAAUUGCUGAGAGGGAAGCGCCUGCGGCCAGACUCGCGCCCUGCGGAUCAUCGGGUGCCUCGCGGCGCCCGUGCACUCCGCCGGGACGCGGGCCAGCAUCGGCUCGCGGCGGGGGACAAAAGCGGGGGGAACGUGGCCUCCCCCGGGAGGUGUUAUAGCCCCCCGCCCAAUGCCCCGCGGCGGGCCGAGGACCGCGCCGCUCCGGCGGCAAGGAUGCUGGCGUAAUGGCCGUCGGCGGCCCGUCUUGAAACACGGACCAAGGAGUCGAACGUCCGCGCGAGUGUUUGGGUGACCAAAGCCCUCACGCGCAGUGAAAGCGAACGCAGGUGGGAGCCUCGGCGCACCACCGACCGAUCCUGAAGUUCACGGAUGGAUUUGAGUAGGAGCGUGGCCGUUCGGACCCGAAAGAUGGUGAACUAAGCCUGCGUAGGGCGAAGCCAGAGGAAACUCUGGUGGAGGCCCGCAGCGGUUCUGACGUGCAAAUCGAUCGUCAAACGUGGGCUUGGGGGCGAAAGACCAAUCGAACCGUCUAGUAGCUGGUUUCCGCCGAAGUUUCCCUCAGGAUAGCAGUGCUGGUCUCAGUUUUAUGAGGUAAAGCGAAUGAUUAGGGGCUCGGGGGCGCUGAUUAGCCUUCACCCAUUCUCAAACUUUGAAUAUGUAAGAAGCCCUUGUCGCCUAGGCGGACGCGGGCCU